UACGUAGGGUGCAAGCGUUGUCCGGAAUUAUUGGGCGUAAAGAGCUCGUAGGCGGUCUGUCGCGUCGGCUGUGAAAACCCGAGGCUCAACCUCGGGCCUGCAGUCGAUACGGGCAAACUAGAGUACUGCAGGGGAGACUGGAAUUCCUGGUGUAGCGGUGAAAUGCGCAGAUAUCAGGAGGAACACCGGUGGCGAAGGCGGAUCUCUGGGCCUUACCUGACGCUGAGGCGCGAAAGCUAGGGGAGCAAACAGG
rnacentral:rRNA from 1 species